CGAAACUAUCCGAGUUGGGCGGGAAAGUGAAAGUAGACACAUGCUGUCUCUUUAACGACUACUUAUCUGUACAGAGAAUAAUUUUCUACAUGACUACUACUCUGACAAGGACAUCAAUCAAUCUUCUAUCCAUUACUAAAGUGCUGGUCAAGUCUGCCUGCUUGAGGACAAGCCCUUCUUCUAGCCACCUGCUCUACAAGAGGAGAAAACCAAAUAAUAGACAUAUCCAUUUAUUUACAGCUACUUUAUCUGACAGCCGAUCCCCCAGAAUGAAUAAGGAUGCAAAGCCACAAAUCGUCUUGGUAACUGGAAACCAGAAAAACUAGA